CACCAAAAUUAGAUCAGCAGCUGGUAAAAACUCGACUUGAUGAGUGACAUAAAUCACUGUUUUUGAUCUCAAAUUGUUUAGUAAAACCUCCUGCCAUUCAAAAGAAUAAACAAGAUGCUCCGAGUUCAUACAUAACUAUUUCAAUUAAAUUAACGAUAGAAACUCUUAAAAUACAUGCCAUAUGAUCAUAGGAGGACAUUACCUUAAGUAAAUGAGAUCGGGUGUGAGCAUCCACCGUGCUGAAAGGAUCAUCAAACAGAUAGAUAUCGGCAUCAUGGUAUAGAGCACGAGCAAUCUGUAUUCUGUGCUUUUGUCCACCACUCAGAUUGAUUCCCCACUCGCCUAUAACUG
rnacentral:lncRNA from 1 species